GGGUCAGUAGGUUGGUCGUGCCACCGGUACGUACUGGUCUCACUGAUUCCUCCUUCCUGAAGAACCGUAAUGCCAUUAAUUUAGUGUUGCGGGGAAACAGGACUGUUACUUUGAAAAAAUUAGAGUGUUUAAAGCAAGCUAACGCUUGAAUACAUUAGCAUGGAUAAUGAAAUAGGUCGAUCGAUCCUAUUUUGUUGGUUUCUAGGAUUGACGUA
rnacentral:rRNA from 1 species